rnacentral:rRNA from 1 species
GAUGAACGCUGGCGGCGUGCCUAAUACAUGCAAGUCGAGCGAACAGAUAAGGAGCUUGCUCCUUUGACGUUAGCGGCGGACGGGUGAGUAACACGUGGGUAACCUACCUAUAAGACUGGAAUAACUCCGGGAAACCGGGGCUAAUGCCGGAUAACAUUUAGAACCGCAUGGUUCUAAAGUGAAAGAUGGUUUUGCUAUCACUUAUAGAUGGACCCGCGCCGUAUUAGCUAGUUGGUAAGGUAACGGCUUACCAAGGCAACGAUACGUAGCCGACCUGAGAGAGUGAUCGGCCACACUGGAACUGAGACACGGUCCAGACUCCUACGGGAGGCAGCAGUAGGGAAUCGUCCGCAAUGGGCGAAAGCCUGACGGAGCAACGCCGCGUGAGUGAUGAAGGUCUUCGGAUCGUAAAACUCUGUUAUUAGGGAAGAACAAAUGUGUAAGUAACUGUGCACGUCUUGACGGUACCUAAUCAGAAAGCCACGGCUAACUACGUG